CACAAUGGGCGAAAGCCUGAUGCAGCCAUGCCGCGUGUAUGAAGAAGGCCUUCGGGUUGUAAAGUACUUUCAGUUGUGAGGAAGGGUGUGUAGUUAAUAGCUGCGCAUCUUGACGUUAGCAACAGAAGAAGCACCGGCUAACUCCGUGCCAGCAGCCGCGGUAAUACGGAGGGUGCGAGCGUUAAUCGGAAUUACUGGGCGUAAAGCGCAUGCAGGUGGUUCAUUAAGUCAGAUGUGAAAGCCCGGGGCUCAACCUCGGAACUGCAUUUGAAACUGGUGAACUAGAGUGCUGUAGAGGGGGGUAGAAUUUCAGGUGUAGCGGUGAAAUGCGUAGAGAUCUGAAGGAAUACCAGUGGCGAAGGCGGCCCCCUGGACAGACACUGACACUCAGAUGCGAAAGCGUGGGGAGCAACAGGAUUAGAUACCCUGGUAGUCCACGCCGUAAAUGUGUCUGGAGUGGGCUGACCGGUUCGACUCGUGGCUUAUAACGCGAAUGCCCUAGAUAGACCGCCUGAUGAGUACGCACGCGAGUGUAAAACUCACGCGAAUUACUAUUGGGCU
rnacentral:rRNA from 1 species